GAUGAAGAACGCAUCGAAAUGCGAUAAGUAGUGUGAAUUGCAGAAUUCAGUGAAUCAUCGAAUCUUUGAACGCACAUUGCGCCUUCUAGUAUUCUGGGAGGCAUGCCUGUUUGAGCGUCAUUAAACCUCUCUCAAGUAUGAUUACUUGGAUGUGAAGGAAGAGUACCUUAAACUUAAGGAGUGUUCUCCUUUGAAAUUGAUUAGCAGAUGGUAAUGUUAUUAAAUCCCUGAUGUUGUAAGAAAUAACAGUGGUUUUGUAGACUAUUAUCUAGCUUUAAAUUAUAAUUUUUAUUAUGGUUGACCUCAAAUCAGGUAAGGAUACCCGCUGAACUUAAGCAUAUCAAUAAGCGGAGGA
rnacentral:misc_RNA from 1 species